rnacentral:rRNA from 1 species
GACGAACGCUGGCGGCGUGCUUAACACAUGCAAGUCGAACGGUGAAGCGCCUUCCUUUUUGGUGGGUGUGGAUGAGUGGCGAACGGGUGAGUAACACGCGAGUAACCUGCCCCCUUCUUCUGGAUAACCGCAUGAAAGUGUGGCUAAUACGGGAUAUUCUGGGUCUGUCGCAUGAUGGGUCUGGGAAAGAUAUUGUUUCGGUGGGGGAUGGGCUCGCGGCCUAUCAGCUUGUUGGUGGGGUGAUGGCCUACCAAGGCGGGGACGGGUAGCCGGCCUGAGAGGGUGGACGGUCACACGGGGACGGAGACACGGCCCAGACUCCUACGGGAGGCAGCAGUGGGGAAUAUUGCACAAUGGGCGCAAGCCUGAUGCAGCGACGCCGCGUGAGGGAUGGAGGCCUGCGGGUUGUGAACCUCUUUCGCCAGUGAAGCAGGCCUGCCUCGUUUGUGGGUGGGUUGACGGUAGCUGGAUAAGAAGCGCCGGCUAACUACGUG